GAGUUUGAUCCUGGCUCAGAUUGAACGCUGGCGGCAUGCCUUACACAUGCAAGUCGAACGGCAGCGCGGGGCAACCUGGCGGCGAGUGGCGAACGGGUGAGUAAUAUAUCGGAACGUACCCUGGAGUGGGGGAUAACGUAGCGAAAGUUACGCUAAUACCGCAUACGAUCUAAGGAUGAAAGUGGGGGAUCGCAAGACCUCAUGCUCCUGGAGCGGCCGAUAUCUGAUUAGCUAGUUGGUGGGGUAAAGGCCUACCAAGGCAUCGAUCAGUAGCUGGUCUGAGAGGACGACCAGCCACACUGGAACUGAGACACGGUCCAGACUCCUACGGGAGGCAGCAGUGGGGAAUUUUGGACAAUGGGCGAAAGCCUGAUCCAGCAAUGCCGCGUGAGUGAAGAAGGCCUUCGGGUUGUAAAGCUCUUUUGUCAGGGAAGAAACGGUGAGGGCUAAUAUCCUUUGCUAAUGACGGUACCUGAAGAAUAAGCACCGGCUAACUACGUGCCAGCAGCCGCGGUAAUACGUAGGGUGCAAGCGUUAAUCGGAAUUACUGGGCGUAAAGCCGUGCGCAGGCGGUUUU
rnacentral:rRNA from 1 species